rnacentral:rRNA from 1 species
CGUGGAUAACCUGCCUCACACAGGGGGACAACAGCCGGAAACGGCUGCUAAUACCGCAUAACACAAGCAAUUCGCAUGAAUAGCUUGUCAAAGAUUUUAUCGGUGUGAGAUGGAUCCGCGUCUGAUUAGCCAGUUGGCGGGGUAACGGCCCACCAGAGCGACGAUCAGUAGCCGACCUGAGAGGGUGACCGGCCACAUUGGGACUGAGACACGGCCCAA